rnacentral:rRNA from 1 species
UACAGAGGUCUCAAGCGUUGUUCGGAUUCAUUGGGCGUAAAGGGUGUGUAGGUGGCGCGCUAAGUCGGGUGUGAAAUUUCGGAGCUUAACUCCGAAACUGCAUUCGAUACUGGCGUGCUUGAGGACUGGAGAGGAGACUGGAAUUCAUGGUGUAGCAGUGAAAUGCGUGGAGAUCAUGAGGAAGACCAGUGGCGAAGGCGGGUCUCUGGACAGUUCCUGACACUGAGACACGAAGGCCAGGGGAGCAAACGGG